rnacentral:rRNA from 1 species
UACGGGGGGGGCAAGCGUUGUUCGGAAUUACUGGGCGUAAAGGGUUUGUAGGUGGCUUGCUAAGUCAGACGUGAAAUCCCUCAGCUUAACUGGGGAACUGCGUCUGAUACUGGUGAGCUUGAGUGCAGGAGAGGAACGCGGAAUUCCAGGUGUAGCGGUGAAAUGCGUAGAUAUCUGGAGGAAUACCGGUGGCGAAGGCGGCAUCCUGGACCGACAUUGACGCUGAGGAGCGAAAGCCAGGGGAGCAAACGGG